AAGAUGGCUGGACCAUGGAAGAGA
rnacentral:piRNA from 1 species